GGUCCUGAGCUGGGAGAGUCCUCGCAUGAACCCCCCAGCCGGCCCCUCCCCCAGCCGGCCCUGCUGAGCUGCCCAGUGACCAGAGGGCCCACGCCAGCUCCCUGCCUCUCUCUGCUGCUUCUGGUUCUUUCCACCUGCUUUUUCCCCAAGGCCUGGCUGUGCUCCUGCACUGGCAGAGGGUUGUAGGGCUGGGAGGAAGCUCAGGUCUCCUGCAGUUUGCAGAGGGCAGGAGUCACUGGGCAAGGCCCUAGGGCUAUGGUGCAGGUUGCCCCAAGGGUUGGGGCCCCAGGCCUGACUCGGUGGCUGUUGUGAAGGGCCUGUGCCCUAAGCUAUGUGAUGUGCAGGGUGGACUGGCAGUCCCUCCCCUAGGGCCACAGAGUCGGAGGUGGGGGGAGGGGAGAUGGCAGGAUGGACAGGAGGGGUUGUUGGGGGGAGAUGGCUGCAUUGGAGCCAACGUGGCUGCCUCCGAGGCCAGUGCAGGGCACGGGAUCAGGGGCUCCAGGGGCGUGGGCAGCUUGAAUGCCUGUAGGAAGGAUUUCUGCUGUCACAUGGCCCAGCUCUGAUUUGCUCACCCCCAGCCCCUGGGAGGGAGGGACACAGGCCAAAGAUGCAAGUGUCAGUGGUGGGGACCCCCCUCCACAGCCUCCAGGACGCCUGCAGCCAGGAUGACCAUGGAAGGGUACUGGCUGGGGGCCCCGGGGGAGUACCACCUCAGCUGGAUGGGUGCCCCAGCAUUGGUAAUGCCCACCCGCGUGCGGCUUCCUCAGCCUUUCCAAGCCUCCUUGCAGCUUCUGGGGAAGACUUUAACCAAAAGUCAGAGUGCAAGACAAACCCAGAAACUCAGUGUGAAUGAAAAACAACCAUGUGGAAGAUAAGGGAAGAAGCUGUAAAAUGCAGGCGCGGAUCCCCUGACGCGUCGCGGGUGACUUGGUGCUUGUGUGUGACCAUCACAAAGAGCACACUCCCAGAAGCAAAGACAGGACAGGUGGGUGACUGGAUGUGGCCUCCUGGUGCCAUCAGGAGGCUGUGCCAGUGCAGCACAGCACACUGUCUUCCAGUGGCCACAUCUAGAAGCAAGAUGCACUCAGCUGUCAGCUGUGUACCGCAGCUGGUGUCACAGUCACUCGGCGUCAGCCACCUCCAGCUGUGCAUCACAGUCACUCAGCGUCAUCCGCCCCCAGCUGUGUGUCAUAGUCGCUCAGCGUCAGCCGCCCCCAGCUGUGCGUCACAGUCACUCAGCGUCAGCCGCCCCCAGCUGUGCGUCACAGUCACUCAGCGUCAGCCCCCAGCUGUGCGUCACAGUCACUCAGCGUCAGCCGCCCCCAGCUGUGCGUCACAGUCACUCAGCGUCAGCCGCCCCCAGCUGUGCAUCACAGUCACUCAGCGUCAGCCCCCAGCUGUGCGUCACAGUCACUCAGCGUCAGCCCCCAGCUGUGCAUCACAGUCACUCAGCGUCAGCCGUCCCCAGCUGUGUGUUAGUCACUCAGUGUCAGCCGUCCCCAGCUGUGCAUCACAAUUGCUCAGCGUCAGCCAUCACCAGCUGUGUGUUAGUCGCUCAGCGUCAGCCCCCAGCUGUGUGUUAGUCGCUCAACGUUAGCCAUCCCCAGCUGUGCGUCACAGUCACUCAGUGUCAGCUGUCCCCAGCUGUGCGUCACAGUCACUCAGCGUCAGCUGUCCCCAGCUGUGCAUCACAGCGGCUCAGUGUCAGCCCCCAGCUAUGCAUCACAGUCACUCAGCGUCAGCCCCCAGCUGUGUGUCACAGUCACUCAGUGUCAGCUGCCCCAGCUGUGUAUUACAGUCGCUCAGCAUCAGCCAUCCCCAGCUGUGUCACAGUCGCUCAGUGUCAGCCAUCCCCAGCUGUGCGUCACAGUCACUCAGCGUCAGCCGUCCCUAGCUGUGUGUCACAGCAGCUCAGUGUCAGCCCCCAGCUAUGCGUCACUGUCGCUCAGCGUCAGCUGCCCCAGCUGUGUGUCACAGUCGCUCAGCGUCAGCCAUCCCCAGCUGUGUGUCACAGUCGCUCAGCGUCAGCCGUCCCCAGCUGUGUGUCACAGUCGCUCAGCGUCAGCUGCCCCAGCUGUGUGUCACAGUUGCUCAGUGUCAGCCAUCCCCAGCUGUGCGUCACAGUCGCUCAAUGUCAUCCGCCCCAGCUGCUGGUGUGUGCCAUCCUGUGGCUGGUAGUGCCCUGGGUGUGUUUACACGCACACGGCCAUGUGCACGUAGGGCUGUGCUGUGCUACAGCAUGAGGCAGCUCUGGUGUCACUCGGCAAAGGGACUUUUUCAUUCCAUUAUAAUCUCGUGGAUCACAUACAAAACUGUAUGUACUGUUUUCAGAACUUAAGUGGUUAUACUGAUGGUGAAAUGACAAGAUUCUACUUUUUAAAAUUUAUUUAUUUUUUAAAGAUUUAUUUAUCUAUUUGAAAGGCAGAGUCACACAGAGGCAGAGAGAGAGAGGGAGGUCUUCCAUCUGCUGGUUCACUCCCUAAAUGGCCGCACAGCCAGAGUUGCGCUGAUCUGAAGCCAGGAGCCAGGUCUCCCACAUGGGUGCAGGGGCCCAAGGACUUGGGCCAUCUUCUGCUUUCCCAGGCCAUAGUAGAGAGCUGGAUUGGAAGUGGAGCAGCAGGGACUUGAACCGGUGCCCAUAUGGGAUGCUGGCACUGCAGGCAGCGGCUUUACCCACUAUGCCAUAGUGCCAGCCCCUAAUUUUAUUUUUUAAAGGAUUUAUUCAUUUGAAGAGUUAGAGAGGGAGAAAGAGAAAUCUUGCAUCCAUUGGUUGACUCCAAAUGGCUACAACGGCCAGGGCUGGGCCAGGCCAAAGCCAGGAGCCUGAAGCUGUCAGAAGAGACAGAGCAUGCAGCCACAGCCAGGCCAGGUCUGCUCGGAAGGGUGAAGCCUGGGGGGCUCCGUCCCAGGUGCAGGCGCAGCAGAGAGCGAGCCCCUCCCUUACAGACUAGCGGUUCUUAUAGCACAGAGUGGCGGGAAGGGGCCUGGGGGUCUGAGCUAAAGCUGGGCUGCCGAGAUGGAGGGGGAGCUCAGGCCGGAUGGCGAGGUCCUGGGAGGUCACAGGGUGAGCUGGGAGGGGCUGGGCUGGGGCUGGCUGGGGCUGGACCCUGGGGCCGAGCUGCUGAGCUGGGAGAGGGGAGAGAGCUUGGGAGGAGCUGACGGCUGGACUCCUCCGCUGGUGGAGAGCCCAGCAGUGCAGGUGUGGGGGCUGUGCUAGCAGGUGGAGAAAUGGGGCCUGCUUGCUGUGUGCGGGAGAGAGGUCAGCACAGACCCAAAGCUCCUUGACCUCGCUCCAUCAGAAACUCCAUCCGGGUCUCCCAUGUGGGUGCAGGUGCCCAGGCACUUGGGCCAUCUUCUGCUGCUUUCCCAGGCUCACUGACUGGGAGCUGGAUUAGAAGUGGAGCAGCCGGGACUGGAAUUGGUGCCCACAUGGGAUGCUGGCAUUGCAGGCGGCAGCUUAGCCGGCUGUGCUACAAUGCUGGCCCCGAGAUUCUACACUUAAAUCAAGAAAAAGUGAGGGAAGAGCUGUUGGCAUUAGAAGUGUGUUUCUUAAAAAAUUCAGUAGAGGGGUUGGAAGAUAAAAGUCAAAAAAACUCCCAGGAAGAAUAACCAGAAGACAAAGAAAGAAAGUAGACGGAUCCAGGAGGUUCCAGCUGCAACCGUGGGAUGAAGAUUGAAGAUGAAGGAGAGUGGGAGGGAGCUGUCAGCUCGGAGCCCCGAGCGUGCUGCAGGAUUCACUGAUGGACUCGACGGCGCCCCCACGAGGCCCAGCGCUGGUGCAGAGUCCACGGAUUCACAGGAAGAUGCUCAAACGUACGCCAUCAUUGAAUAAAACAGAAAAGGGCGGCCGUGGAGGACGAGGAUGUGAGGAGCAAGCUAGCGUCUCUGGGAGGGCAGUGCGGACCUCGCCGUGGGUGUGGGGACGAGCUGCUGACGGCUGUCGGAGAGCGGGGGUGUGGGAACGGGCACAGGGAGCCGGGCUCCCCCAGAGAAACAGGCGAGCGGUUGGCUCCUGUCCUGAGGGAAGGUGGAGCAGACGAGCUUGUCCGUCCUGCUGGGCAGUGCGUGUGGUCUCCCGGCACGUCUGGUAAGCAGCCCCGUAGGAGGACCCCCAAAAGCUGGAAAGCAGGCUGGCUGGGACCUCAGGCCAUGUGGCGAGGUUUGAGGUUCUGCUUUGGCCUCACGCAGCCCAGCCUGGGAGCUGAGGAGCCAGCAACCCAGGGGCGCCAAGAAUGACCGGAAACACUGGCCUGCCUGUGCCCACCAGCGGGCAGGCCGAGUGGGCAGCAGGGCCUUCAUCCCUGCAGACGGCAGCAGCCCCCUAGGGAGCCCUGGGGAAUCUGGGUAUCAGUGGAGACCCCCCGAGGGGCUGCCACGCCAGCUGUGAAGAGCAGAGCCCCCUCCCAGCUGUCCAGGGCGGCUCCAGCUGGGGUGAGGAGGUGGUGGCCCCUCCUCCCGAGGGCCUGGAGCAGGGCUGGGAGCCUGUUUCCUGCCAGGGCCCUGUGGUAUUUAUAGCAUCAUUCGUGGGCCACACAAAGUUGUCAGCUUAAGAAUGAGCUUGCUCUAGACUUAGGGAAUUCCAAGUGCCACCUGCAGUUGCCUUGGCAAAGGCCAGACCAAGCGACUCCGAGGGCCUGACACAGCCAGCACGGGCUGGGCUGGCCCCAGUCCUGUCCCCAAUGGAGGGGAGGACGCUCGGGUCGGAAUGGCUGGAACGUCUCUAAUUGGACAAAUGAGUGACCGAGAGAUCCAUUUUGUGAGGGCGGCACUGCCCCGAGCAACCACAGACAGAAUCCACGCCGAGACAGCAGAGUGAAGCUUCUGAGGUGUGAAGACACGUGAACGCUCCGCCCCCGGAGGGCAGCUCGGAUCACAGCGGGUUUCUUGCCAGAAGCCUGGACAGCAGAGGGAGCGGCGGCAUUCCUCGAUGCCGGGCCUUGCAGGGGGAGCACACAGAAGCACGGCCAGGAAAUGGACCAGCUCCUGGAGCCCCCGGCCGCUGCGCGUCGCAGGUGUGGUGGGUGGCUUGGGUAGCCCUAGACCUAGCACAGAAAUUCAUCAUCUAAUUUGAAAACUGCCAGUGCUUGGUUUCGUGGUGCAGCAGUUUGAACAGCAGCUUGCCACGCCAGUGUCUCAUAUCGGAGUGCUGGUAGGCCUGGCUGCUCCGCCUCUGAUCCAGUUCCCUGUAAUGCACCUGGGAAAGCAGCAGAGGAUGGCCCAAGUCCUUGGUUCCCUGCCACACACAUGCGAGACCAGGAUGGAGUGUCCAGCCCUUGGCUUUGGCCUGGAUGAACCCUGACUGUUGUGGCAUUUGGGUAAGGAGCCAGAGGAUGGGAGACCUCUUGCCUUCUGUCCCUCUCUUUCAUUCUUUCAAAUAACUAACUAACUAAAUCUUUCUUAAAAAGAUUUAUUUAUUUUAUUUGAAAGGCAGAGAUAAGAGACAGAGAGAGGGAGACACAGAGAUCUUCCAUCUGCAGGUUCACCCCUCAAAUGGCCGCAACCAAAGCCAGGAGCCAGGAGCCUCUUCUGGGUCUCCUGUGUGGGUGCAGGGGCCCAUGCACGCGCUAUCUUCCUCCACUUUCCCAGGAGCAUUAGCAGGGAGCUGGAUCUGAAGUGGAGCAGCCAGGACAUGAGCCGGCGCCCACAUGGAAUGCUGGCGUCGCAAGGCAGCAGCUUAACCUGCCACGCCAUGGCACCAGCCCCUAACUAAACUCUUCUUUAAAAAUAUGAAAACUUCCAUAAAAGAUUUCUUCAGGCCCAGAUGAUUUCACCAGGAAGUCUUAGCAAACAUCUAAAGAAUUAGCACCAUUUCUCUACAACCUCUUAUCUCAUUCUACACAAUAUCUUCCAGAAAAACAGGGCGAGAACACGUUCUGACUCAGUUUCUGAAGGCAGUAUCACCCUGAUACAAAAUCAGAUGAAAACAGUGUAAAUAAAAUAGAGUCACAAAGCCCUUUCUCAGAAUGCUGGCCAAUAGCAUUCCGUAACGUAUGAGAAGUAUACACCACGACAGUGGGGUUGACUCCCAGGAUGCUAGGUUGGCUCGGUAUUAAAAAAUGGAACCCAUCAUAUUAACAAGCAAAGGGAGGAAAAACCUCAUGAUCCUAUCAGCCAGCAUAGAAAAGGCGUUUGAGAAAAUGCAACACCCGUUCCUGAUAAAAACCCAGAAAACAAGAUAAAGGAACAAGGACUAUGUGAACACCAAAGUUUAAAAAUGCCUUUUCACUUACAGUUGCCAAAAACUGAAACACUUAAGUAUAAAUGUUACAAAGCAUGUAUGGUGUUUGCAUGCUGAAAAGGACACAGCACUGAUGGAAACCAGCAGAGAUCUGAAUGGAUGGAGAGACAUACCAUGUUCAUGGAUUGGAAGACCCAGCCAAGUUCGUGUGUCAGUUCCCUCCAAGUUCAUGUAAAGUGAUUAAAAGUGAAUGAUACUAGCCAGCACCGUGGCUCACUAGGCUAAUCCUCUGCCUGCGGUGCUGGUACCCCGGGUUCUAGUCCUGGUUGGGGCUCCAGGUUCUGUCCUGGUUGCUCCUCUUCCAGUCCAGCUCUCUGCUGUGGCCCGGGAAGGCAGAGGAGGAUGGCCCAAGUGCUUGGGCCCUGUACCCGCAUGGGAGACUAGGAGGAAGCACCUGGCUCCUGGCUUCGGAUCAGCGCAGUGUGUCGGCCGUGGCAGCCAUUUAGGGGGUGAACCAACGGAAGGCAGACCUUUCUCUCUGUCUCUCUCUCUCACUUUCUAACUGCCUAUCCAAAAGAAAAAAGUGAAUGAUAACUAUUCCUGUCAAGCUCUCGAUAAAAUUUUUUUGUAGCUGUAAACAAGAUUAUUUUAAAAUCUGUAUGAGCAGGAAAAACAAUACUUAAAAUCAUUUUUUAAAAAGAUUUAUUUAUUUAUUUGAAAGAGUUAUAGAGAGGUAGAGGUAGAGAGAGAGAGCGAGAGGUCUUCCAUCACUGGUUCACUCUCCAGAUGGCUGCAAUAGCCAGAGCUGCACCUAUCCAAAGCCAGGAGCCAGGAGCUUCUUCCAGGUCUCCCACUUGAGUACAGAGGCCCAAGGACUUGGGCCAUCUUCCACUACUUUCCCAGGCCAUAGCAGGGAGCUGGAUUGGAAGUAGAGCUGCUGGGACUUGAACCAGUGCCCAUAUGAGAUGCCAGUGCUGCAGGUGGUGGCUUUACCCUCUAUGCCACAGCACCGGCCCCUAAAAACUCUUAAAGCUCAACGGUAAAAGAGCAAUCAAUUAGAACAUGGAUAAAAGAAAGACAUUUCCUGGAAGAGAAUGCACAGGCGGCAGAUAAGCACAUGAAAUCUGCCAACCGUUGGAGACGCGGACGUUAAAACCGCAGUGAGCCGUCAGGACACAGACACGGAAGGGCUCGGUGGGACAGUGAGAGCCCCAGGCGAGGCCAGGACCCAGGGCCCGGAGGAGUGGAGUCCCUCAGGUUGCUGGUGACGGUGGGAAACAGUGCAGCUGUUGAGGAAAAGGGUUUGUCAGCUUCUCAGAAACCCACACGUAGCUGCACUGCUGUGGGGCGCGGCAGGAGGUGGCCUCGGGCGGCGGGGAAAGGGCGCACACUGCCCUGCGGCGUGCAAAUUUACCAUCAUGUCAAAGUGAAAACUUAACUAUAAAGAAAGGCUGUGCGUGAACAGACUGCUGAUUUCUUUACUGCUUGGCCCGGCAGUGACGUGGAAGAUGUGUGACAAAGUGACACAAGCACUAAGUGGCGAUGAAGGAGACUGGCUCGGCUGUGAGGAAGAGGGGAGGGAGGCGGCAGCGGUGAUGUAACCGGGAGUUAGCAGGUGACGCCCCAGCUGAUGGGACCUGGGAAUUAGACGCCUGGCCUGGAUCCAGAGGAGCAGCCUCGGCGAGGCUGCCUCUUGCUCGUGGCUUCCAGGGUUGCCCUGGCUGGGAUGGGAGAUGGUUGGUUUUUCUGUAUGAAAAAGCCUUUUACGACUGCACUUUCUGGCGUUGAUAAAAUGGAAGCAGUGACAGUGGUGAGGAGACAGCCCCCACACUCCGGGCGGCCUCCUGGAAGGUGCCCUGUGUUUGUGACGGACGUGACCAGUGGAGUAGAGAGGGAAUUCGCCCCUGUCUUUGGAGUGCCUGCUGCGUGCGGCUGCAGCGUUCACGUGGUUCCCGGGGUGCAGUGGCCACGAAUCACAUCUCUGAGUCCAAAUCCGAGGAGCUUCUUGGUGAGCUGCUGUUGUUUAUCAGUGUGUUUAAGCUGAACGUGUAAUCACGUCCGUGGCUCAGAAGUCCGGAGUUCAGACUGGUCCCUGGUGAGAUGUGGUCGUUCCUCUGGGAAGAACCUCAGGCACCAGUUUCUUUUCUGUUUUUCUUUUUGUUAAUUUACGUAUUUGAAAGGCACGGGGAGAGAGAUUUUCCACGCACUGGUUUAUUGUCUAGAUGGCUGUGGCUGCCAGGCCAGGUCUGGGCCGGGCUGAAGCCAGGAGCCCAGAACCCCACGGUGGUCUCCCACAUGGACGUCAGGAGCCCAGAUACUUGGGCCGUGUUUCGCUAACUUCAGGCGCAUAGCAGGAAGCUGGAUCCAGCUGAACCUACUGUGCCACAGCGCCUGCUCCUGCCCUUGCUCCUUUAUUUAUUUUUUUUUUAAAGAAUUUAUUUAUUAUUUGAGAGGCAGAGUUACAGAGAGAGAGAGGGAGGGAGGGAGAAAGAAGUCUUCCAUGCACUGGUUCACUCCCCAAAUGGCUGCAACGGCCGGAGCUGAUCUGAAGCCAGGAGCUCCAGGAAGACCCGGGUCUCCCGUGCGGGUGCAGGGGCCCAAGGACUUGAGCCAUCCAGGCCAUAGCAGAGAGCUGGAUUGAAAGUGGAUCAGCUGCAGGCCGGUGCCGUGGCUCACUAGGCUAAUCCUCCGCCUUGUGGCACCGGCACACCGGGUUCUAGUCCCGGUCGGGGUGCCGGAUUCUGUCCCGGUUGCCCCUCUUCCAGGCCAGCUCUCUGCUGUGGCCCGGGAGUGCAGUGGAGGAUGGCCCAAGUGCUUGGGCCCUGCACCCCAUGGGAGACCAGGAGAAGCACCUGGCUCCUGCCAUCGGAUCAGCGCGGUGCGCCGGCCGCAGCGUGCUGGCCGCGGCGGCCAUUGGAGGGUGAACCAGCAGCAAAAAAGGGAAGACCUCUCUCUGUCUCUCUCUCACUGUCCGCUCUGCCUGUCAAAAAAAAAAAAAAAAGAAA